GGAAUAAGUUGAAAAAAACAUGAAGGAUGCAAAAGGCAAGUUGGAAAGUGAAAUGGAAGAUGCCUAUUCAUGAGCAUCAGGCAAAUCUUUUACUCCAAGAUCUGAUGAGACGUCAGGAAGAAUUAAGAUGUAUGGAAGAACUUCAUAAUCAAGAAAUGCAGAAACGUAAAGAAAUGCAAUUGAGGCAGCAGGAGGAAAAACGUAGAAGGGAGGAAGAGAUGAUGAUUCGUCAAUGUGAGAAAGUUAUAGCCGGGUGGGCUACAUGGAUCCAAGAGAAAGAGACAUGAGAAUGGGUGGUGGAGGAGCAAUAAACAUGGGAGAUCCCUAUGGUUCAGGAGGCCAGAAAUUUCCACCUCUAAGUGGUGGUGGUGGCAUAAGUUAUGAAGCUAAUCCUGGAGUUCCACCAGCAACUAUGAGUGGUUCCAUGAUGGGAAGCGACACGGUAUUGAGUGCUUUGGGCAGGGAGGUGCGGGACCUGUGGGUAGACAGGGUCCUAGAUGAAUGGGCUCUGGAACUCCAGCAGGCUAUGGUAGAGGGAGAGGAGUAUGAAAGCCCAAACAAAAAACCCCAAUUUUAGAUGUGAUAUCUAGGUUUUCAUUCCAGUUUGUUUUUGUCUUUUCUUGUUUAGAUACCACUUUUAAAUUCUUGCAUUUUAGUAAGAAAGCUACCUUUUUAUGGAUGUUAGCAGUUUAUUGACCUAUUAUUUGUAAAUGGUCUGUUUGAACAGGUAAAAUUAUGUAAUGCAGUGUUUGAAACAGGAGAAAAGUUUUUUUCUUUUUAGUUUUUUUUUCCUCUCCUUUUUUUUUUUUUUUACUGUAUAAUGUCCCUCAAGUUAAUGGCAGUGUACCUUAUGCCACAGAAUUUCCAAAGUGUACAGAUUUUUUUUUACUGUGCUUCAAAUAAAUAGAAAAAUAGUUAUAAUACUGAUCUUCAACUUUGCCAUUCAUGCUUCUAUGCACAUUAGGCUAGGUAUUCCACUUUGAAAGCAUGAGAGUGUCGAGGCCUUUGAAUGGCAGGCAUAUGCCAUUUCUGGGAAAUGUAUGGGGAGACUAAGUAUUGCUUUCUACAAGUAACUGCCCUCUUGUUUUAAAAAGAAGAAAUGCAGAUUUGAAGUAGUUCACGAUUGUUUGGCAUUAUAGGAAGCAAGCUGGUGCUAAGUAUUUUUAAAUGGUUAUGUAAUCAAAGAUGAACUGUAAAUCUUCAUUCAGGAAUAUAUUUUAAGAUUAUGGAAUGGGUGUAAGACUUGGUAGCAGG
rnacentral:lncRNA from 1 species